rnacentral:rRNA from 1 species
AACGUAGGACGCAAGCGUUAUCCGGAGUUACUGGGCGUAAAGCGCGUGUAGGCGGCUCGAUAAGUCUGCUGUGAAAGUCCAGGGCUCAACCCUGGGAUGCCGGUGGAUACUGUCGAGCUCGAGUCCGGAAGAGGCGAGUGGAAUUCCUGGUGUAGCGGUGAAAUGCGCAGAUAUCAGGAGGAACACCAAUGGCGAAGGCAGCUCGCUGGGACGUGACUGACGCUGAGACGCGAAAGCGUGGGGAGCAAACAGG